GUGGGUAGAGCUCAGUGGCAGAGCACGUGCUUGGCAUGCAUCAGGUCCCGGGUUCAAUCCCCAGCACCUCUG
rfam:Camelus ferus unplaced genomic scaffold scaffold293, whole genome shotgun sequence.